CAGAGGGGGCAAGCGUUGUUCGGAAUUACUGGGCGUAAAGGGCGCGUAGGCGGCCUGUUAAGUCGAACGUGAAAUCCCCGGGCUCAACCCGGGAACUGCGUCCGAAACUGGCAGGCUCGAAUCCGGGAGAGGGAUGCGGAAUUCCAGGUGUAGCGGUGAAAUGCGUAGAUAUCUGGAGGAACAUCGGUGGCGAAGGCGGCAUCCUGGACCGGUAUUGACGCUGAGGCGCGAAAGCCUGGGGAGCAAACGGGAUUAGAUACCCCGGUAGUCCUGGCCCUAAACGAUGAAUGCUUGGUGUGGCGGGUAUCGAUCCCUGCCGUGCCGAAGCUAACGCAUUAAGCAUUCCGCCCGGGGAGUACGGUCGCAAGGCUG
rnacentral:rRNA from 1 species